rnacentral:rRNA from 1 species
GAUGAACGCUGGCGGCGUGCCUAAUACAUGCAAGUCGAGCGAACGGACGAGAAGCUUGCUUUUCUGAUGUUAGCGGCGGACGGGUGAGUAACACGUGGAUAACCUACCUAUAAGACUGGGAUAAUUUCGGGAAACCGGAGCUAAUCCCGGAUAAUAUUUUGAACCGCAUGGUUCAAUAGUGAAAUACGGUCUUGCUGUCUCUUAUCGAUGGAUACGCGCUGCAUUAGCUAGUUGGUAAGGUAACGGCGUACGACGGCAGCGAUGCAUGACAGACCUGAGAGAGUGAUCAGCGGCACUGGAGCUGAGACACGAUCCAGACGACUACGAGAGGCAGCAGUAGCGAAUCGGCCGCAAUGGUCGGGAGUCUGACGGAGCAACGCCGCGUGAGUGAUGAAGAUCUUCCGAUCGGAAAACUCUCUUAGUAGGUAAAAACAUAUGUGUAAGUAACUGUGCACAUCGUGACGGUACCUAAUCAGAAAGCCACGGCUAACUACGUG